rnacentral:rRNA from 1 species
AUUGAACGCUGGCGGCAGGCCUAACACAUGCAAGUCGAGCGGCAGCGGGACCUUCGGGUCGCCGGCGAGCGGCGGACGGGUGAGUAAUGCCUAGGAAUCUGCCUGUUAGUGGGGGAUAACGCGGGGAAACUCGCGCUAAUACCGCAUACGUCCUACGGGAGAAAGUGGGGGAUCUUCGGACCUCACGCUAUCAGAUGAGCCUAGGUACGAUUAGCUAGUUGGUGAGGUAAAGGCUCACCAAGGCGACGAUCGUUAACUGGUCUGAGAGGAUGAUCAGUCACACUGGAACUGAGACACGGUCCAGACUCCUACGGGAGGCAGCAGUGGGGAAUAUUGGACAAUGGGCGAAAGCCUGAUCCAGCCAUGCCGCGUGUGUGAAGAAGGUCUUCGGAUUGUAAAGCACUUUAAGUUGGGAGGAAGGGCAGUAAGUUAAUACCUUGCUGUUUUGACGUUACCGACAGAAUAAGCACCGGCUAACUACGUGCCAGCCGCCGCGGUAAUAC